rnacentral:rRNA from 1 species
AAAUUGAAGAGUUUGAUCAUGGCUCAGAUUGAACGCUGGCGGCAGGCCUAACACAUGCAAGUCGAACGGUAACAGGAAUCAGCUUGCUGAUUCGCUGACGAGUGGCGGACGGGUGAGUAAUGUCUGGGAAACUGCCUGAUGGAGGGGGAUAACUACUGGAAACGGUAGCUAAUACCGCAUAAUGUCGCAAGACCAAAAAGGGGGACCUUCGGGCCUCUUGCCAUCAGAUGUGCCCAGAUGGGAUUAGCUUGUUGGUGGGGUAACGGCUCACCAAGGCGACGAUCCCUAGCUGGUCUGAGAGGAUGACCAGCCACACUGGAACUG